rnacentral:rRNA from 1 species
AGAGUUUGAUCCUGGCUCAGAACGAACGCUGGCGGCGUGCCUAACACAUGCAAGUCGAACGAGAAAUCCGGCACUCAGGCAACUGAGUGCUGGAGAGUAAAGUGGCGCACGGGUGAGUAACGCGUGGGUAACCUGCCCUUGAAUCGGGGAUACCCCCGUGAAAACGGGACCAAUACCGGAUAUUGUCCCCGAAACCGUGGUUUCGGGAAUGAAAGGUGACCUAUCCAUGGAAGUUGCCGUUCAGGGAGGGGCCCGCGUACCAUUAGCUUGUUGGUGGGGUAAUGGCCUACCAAGGCAACGAUGGUUAGCUGGUCUGAGAGGAUGAUCAGCCACACUGGAACUGAAACACGGUCCAGACUCUUACGGGAGGCAGCAGUGAGGAAUUUUGCGCAAUGGGGGAAACCCUGACGCAGUAACGCCGCGUGAGUGAAGAAGGCCUUCGGGUCGUAAAGCUCUGUCAAGUGGGAAAAAAUGCUUUUGGUCAAUAGCCGGAAGCCCUGAUGGUACCACUGGAGGAAGCACCGGCUAACUCCGUGCCAGCAGCCGCGGUAAUACGGAGGGUGCAAGCGUUGUUCGGAAUUACUGGGCGUAAAGAGCGUGUAGGCGGUUUGGUAAGUCAGAUGUGAAAGCCCUGGGCUCAACCCAGGAAGUGCAUUUGAAACUGCCAUACUUGAGUAUGGGAGAGGAGAGUGGAAUUCCCAGUGUAGAGGUGAAAUUCGUAGAUAUUGGGAGGAACACCCGUGGCGAAAGCGACUCUCUGGACCAAUACUGACGCUGAGACGCGAAAGCGUGUGUAGCAAACAGGAUUAGAUACCCUGGUAGUCCACGCCGUAAACGAUGAGAACUAGUGUAGUGGGUAUUGACCCCUGCUGUGCCGAAGUUAACGCAUUAAGUUCUCCGCCUGGGGAGUACGGCCGCAAGGCUAAAACUCAAAGGAAUUGACGGGGGCCGCACAAGCGUGAGCAUGUGUUCAUUUCGACGCAACGCGAGACUUACCUGAUUUGACAUCCUCUGACAGCCUCGAACGAGUCUUUCGACUCCUGUCCGACGAUGAAGUGCUGCAUGCUGUCGGUCAGCUCGGUCCUGAAAUGUUGGAUAGUUCCGCACGAGGCAAUCUUGUCUUAUGCCAGAUUAGUAGACUCUAGAGACUGCCUCGAUAACCAGCAGAAGUUGG